rnacentral:rRNA from 1 species
UUACCACCUUGACAUGAAAGAGAUUUCGCAAGACACAGGUGCUGCAUGGCUGUCGUCAGCUCGUGUCGUGAGAUGUUGGGUUAAGUCCCGCAACGAGCGCAACCCUGUCUUAGUUGCUACAUAUGAGACUCUAAGAGACUGCCGGUGACAACCGGAGGAAGGUGGGGAUGACGUCAAGUCCUCAUGGCCCUUAUGGUGGGCUUCACACGUCAUACAAUGGCAUACAAGGGGCACCGCGAGGGGAGCAAUCCCAAAANGAUCGUAGUCCGGAUUGUAGUCUGCAACUCGACUACAUGAAGUUGGAAUCGCUAGUAAUCGCGAUCAGCNUGCGCGGUGAAUACGUUCCCGGGUCUUGUACACACCGCCCGUCACACCAUGGGAGCGGGUUGCCGAA